UAAUAGAAAACUGCUUUCGGUUUUUCUCUGGCGCCAAGGGAACUGUACAACUUUUCUCUUUAGGUUAAACGAGUUCGGUUAAACAUCUAAAUUUUACGAUUGCAUGUUAGAUGCGGUAUAUUAAGCGUUAAAAAGUACCUGGCUGAUCGGCAUUUCAUUUUAAUUCGCGGAUCAAGGUCUGUUAUCAGACACGAUGAGCAGCUUUGAGGCCCAGUUUGUGGAUGGCCACUUCGCUGAGCUUGUUCAGAGGGUUACCUCAGUGAUGGCAAUAGCAGAUGAACUAAAGAAUAAGAAAAUGAUACAUAAUGAAAAAUAUUCAGAGAUUAGAGCAGAAAAAACAGACCAGGGCAAAAUGAGAAAGCUCUUUGAAGCACUAAAUGCUGGAGGAGACAGAGUGAAAAAUGACUUCUAUUAUGCUCUGAGAAAUCAUGAACCAUACCUCUUCAAAGAGCUGGGAGGUGGUGAAGCGAUCGAUUACAUCGAUGGCCACCAGAACAACCAGCUACAGUUAAACUGAAGACCAAAGACCUCUGCAACCAAGACACGCAAACAGACAUCACUUGGAAAAUAAGAUGCAGCUGAAGAUGAAGAAAAUUCACACAUUUGAAAAUUGUCACCAGUUAUUCUCCCUAAUGUCACUGAAAACCCACCUUUUCCCAUAAUUACUUUGUGUUCAAUAUGAAUAUAUAUAUAUAUAUGUGUGUGUGUGUGUGUGUGUGUGUGACCAUGGACCACAAAACCAGUUUUCAAAAUUGAGAUGAAUAAAUAAGCUUUCCAAUGACGUAUGGUGUAUUGGGGUCGGACAAUAUUUAAAUACUGAGAAAAUCUCCUUUAAAUUUGUCCAAAUUAAUUCUUAGCAAUGCAUAUUACUACUCAAAAAUUAAGUUUUUAUAUAUUAACAAUAGGAAAUGUACAAAUAAUCUUCAUGGAACAUGAUCUUUACUCAUUAUCCCAAUGAUUUUUGGCCUAUUUUUUUUAUUUUUAUUUUUUUUAUAAUUUUUACCCAUACCAUGUAUUUUUGGCUAUUGCUAUAAAUAUACCCCAGAGACUUAAGACUGGUUUUAUGGUCCAGGGUCACAGGGUUUUCCUUUUGUAGGCAAAAUUUUUUAACCUUUUUAUGCAGUUUUUUAAUGCUAAAAUCACAAUAGUUUAUACAUCAUCAUCCAUAGCUAUUUAACCAAAUCGUUAUAUUAUAUUUUUGAAUUAAAAAAAUAAAAUAAAAUUUGAUUGCAGUGCUUGCAAAUAUCAUGAUAUUCUGUUACACUGCAGAUUAUACAUUGUAGGUUUUUUCUCUCCAAAUACAGGUGUUGAACUUGUGUUAUAUAUAUACACCUACUUUUUUUUUUUUAAGUACACCCACUUUUUAAUACAUUUAUGAUUACAUUUAAAUCAAGGAAACUCACAUUGACUUGCUUAAGUGAUGUCAUAGUUCUUGUGAAUGGUCAUAUACUUUCUUUUAAGUAAUUUAGAGCUGCAUUUGUAAAGUUGAAUGCAUUUAUAUUCUUCAUUUUCUUUCAAACUGCGUUCAAAUAAUGUGCUUCUCUUUUCACUGGAUUCCCUUCUCAUUGAUAAAUUGAUAGCUUUGUGAAUUGGUUUACACAUUUCAUUUUUAAUUAUUGCAUUACGUUUUCUUACCUGCCAAAUAAUUUAAUUUGAUUAUUCUGGAUACUGAUAUGUCAAAAGAUUGCAAGGUGUCUGAUGUUACUGUACUUAAGAUCUAUCCCCAAGGUUUGAGCAUGAGUCCAUGAUUUGAACGGAGCAAAAAAACAUUUCAGAGGACUUUUUCAUUACUUCGGAACCGCAUACUAGCAUAGCCUGUAGGCCUGUGCUCUUAUAUAAAAUAUAUUUCUAGGGCAGGAAUGAUAAGGGAAGUUAUUGUGUGGAUUUGAAUUCUGCAUUUGUCUUUCUUCUCACUUGAAUGGAUGUAGCUAUAGAACUAGCUUCAGCUACUUAUAAGCAAACAGUAGUUCUGAUAACUGGUAAGAGAGGUGAACUGCGAGGUUGGUUAGUUCUAUAGGGGGAGAUCGGGCUGGUUGUAACAUUUUUAACAUUUCUGUGUGUAUCUUGGAGUUCUUCUAAGCCAGUGCAUUCAAAAUGUGAUUCAAACUUGUUACAAGUGUCUGCUUAUUAAAUGCUGUAGAUGUUAGUCUUCUAAAAAAACAACCAGCCCAAACUUGCCUGGACACACCCAAUUUGCACAAAUUUCUCAAAUACAGAACCAGAAAACCACUUGAUCUUCAUUUCUUGAGAUGCAGUCUGAUACCAUGACUGAAAAAAUUUAGUGACCAUAAUAUCUUAAAGGAAUCUUCAGUUUAUUUAGAAUAAAUUAGUGUUAGCUGGGAUGGUUGACUGAAUCUGGAGAGUUUUAGAGUUUAGGCUGCUGUUGUUCUGCCUUGUGCAUGUUUACAGAAAAAUGGCUGAAGCCAGUAUUUCAUGGGAUGAGGAUCGGGUCAUCUGUACAAUCUGUCUGGAUCUACUGAAGGAUCCAGUGACCAUUCCCUGUGGACACAGCUACUGUAUGAAGUGUAUUACAGGUUACUGGGAUCACGAUGAUCAGAAGAGAGUCUACAGCUGCCCUCAAUGCAGACAAACCUUCACUCCAAGCCCUUUGUUAGGUAAAGACAAGAGGACUGAAAAACAG